CUUACCUCUUGCAUUUUUGUUUCCACCGUGACAAUUUGGUCUGUUCCUAUCUCAGCAGAAUGGCUCGUGAAGAAGAAACGUAUUCGCAACGGAGUCUCCCAAGAACGACUGACUACGUUGACUGACAGAUUUACCGACGAUCAGAAGGGAGCUGCUGCUGACAUGAGUAUGCAGGCUCUGAUGAACGUCCGGUGCAUGAAUCUUGUCAACCCUGUAUGCGACUGGCUUGGUGAGAUUUACGACCCCGCCUCCAGGGAGUUUGUGAUUCUGGAACGUGGAAGACUACCGUUGAACGAGGAAUCCGUGUCCUGCACUUUGGGUGUGCCUCGUGGACAGAUGAAAUUCCCGUACGAGGUCAAUAACGAUAUCGAGCAAGCGCUGUUCCCCCGUUUGUUUCCUGGGUUGGAAUCCAUGCCGAACACGUCUGUACUGGCAAAACUGAAAGAUGUGAAGAACAUGAACUGGUGUAAGUUCACAGCCGACUUCCUGCAUGAUGCAUUCUCAAGCAAGAUGUACCAAAAGGGUUGUCGACUGCAUUUAAUGCUCAUGUACGUCGACUGUCUUGAUCUGUCCACCAUGGAUUUCACUGGGACAGGAGGCCCGCCGCCUACGCACAAGUUUGCUGCUUGUGCGUGGACUAUCAAUGCUGUCAAGGUUGUGCUUGCCGCAGACAGGGUAACUGAUACCAAAUAUGGAAAGCUGCAGCUGAUGGCCAAGCAUGCUAUAGACUACAGCGUGUUUGGGGGCCUCAAAACUUUGGAAAGUGGAUGGAUGUGCACUCAGCUCCGUCUUACCCUACUGACGAGGGCACCUGUUGAGCAUCUAAUUGGGCAGUUUACAUCUGGAAUGACCGGCUUGCUCGGGAAGUUGGUUGAGGGGUGGACGUCUCUUAGUGGCUCUGACAGCGACGCAGUUGUGAGGCAGUUCACUUCGUUUGUCCCAGAACGGACACAUCGGCCAACUGGUUGCCGUGGCCGGUACGACUACAACAGUUCCCAAGAGCUUGCUGACUCACAAGAUGAACUAGGUGGAGACGCUGGUAUCAGCAAGGAUGACGACGAUGACACAGAGAACGCGGAAGAGGAAAUCGAUGAUGAUGAACAUGCUGAAGUUUGUGCAGGUGCUAACAAGGGGAAGGAUGCACCAUAUGUCCCCCACCAGAGAAUGUCAAAGAACAUAUGGCUGCGAGAGGCGAGGGGGUGUUGCCAUCAAAGUGGGGGAGGGCUCCAGAGGAUGUUGGGCAGGGUUCUCCUGGCAAGAGGGUGA
rnacentral:rRNA from 1 species